UAGGUUAGUCGAUAAGAGAUUUCACAAACUAUUGAUAGCCUUAAAUCCCAAACGCCCAUGACGGGGCUCGAACCCUGGAGGAGAUGCCAAUUGGGCUAGUGCCCAUUGGCGCUUUGUGUGUGCCUUGGUGCAGUUUGCAGUGCUACCAUUUGAGCUGCAUUGCCGAACUAGUGAAAAAUCUAUACCUAUACAACCAUGUGUGCACUUAUUUACCAUGGGGAUUUUUAGCUCGUCUUUAAUUUUGUUUGAUCAAAUUCUAAGUUCCUCUUGUGCAAGUGUGGUGCAUAGCUCGUCUUUAUUGUACUCGUGAUGAAAAAGUGAACCACCUCUUGGAGAAAACACGCUUUCACUAUAAUCCAUCUCCAAGAUCUCUCUCAUUUUCAGAGUGCAGUGAUUUCAGAUUUUGUGCAGCAAUUACGCGUCUCUGUCUCCAUUGUUGCACGCACUUGCAAACCAAAACAAUUGUUUCAAAAUUUUCAAACCAUAGACUGUGAUUAUGUCUUGAAAGUGGGCACAUGAUUGUCGAGAUUUGAGUCUGAGAUUAUGUUUGGGUGGUUAUACUUGAUCUCUUUAUGUUGGUCCUGUGAAGCUGCAUAUUUAUCCAUUGAAAUCGUCCUUGGAUUGAUUGAUUGUGGCCUUGUGGGUGCAUAUUUUAUCAGAUAAUUAAAGCAUGCAUCCACUGUUUGUCAGUCAUGUGUCCAUUCUUGGCCUCUUAGGAAGAUGAAGACAUUUUCUGUUGUUGUAACUCAGCUGUGCAAAGAUUGAACAACAAGACUAUUCUGCAUAACCUGUGUUUGGAUGGAGGAAAUGCAGGAAAAGGUUGUGCUUCUUCCCAGUAUGAUGUUAGACAUACCGUACAGCCCAUUGUCAACAUUCCCUCGAGUUCAUUGCCACUGAUGCUAAAUAUCAACUCAGAUUCAGUGUGUACCUCUGCUAGGCCGGCUGUCAAUACGAAACUUUGUCCCAGCUUUAGUUGGGGCCCCUGCUAAAAGACCGUGAGAUAGGUGUCCCGGAUUAGUCGGUCCAUUGGGCUGGAUAAUAUCAGAAGAAAAAAACAGCCAAGAUUAUAAUUUCAUUACCAUGUUUGAAGACUAUUGGGGCUGUACAGAUUUCCAGUUUUCCACCAUGCAAACUCGCCGACACCAAUAUAUUUCUGAAGACACUUAAAUUGGUCAUUUGUACACAUUCAAUCAGCUAUCUUGAAUGAGUCUUAAGGGUUGACUAAGAGAAGAUAUUCCUGAAGAUCUGAUCAACUAGAGAAAACUGAGACAAGACCAACAAAAAAGGGUGUAAUUAAGAUAAAUUUACUAGUUGUGGACUGAAGAUCUGGUAGUGAGGGAGGAUCUCAUGUCUACAAUGGCAGACUCAUCGGCUCCCAGC